UACGUAGGGGGCAAGCGUUGUCCGGAAUCAUUGGGCGUAAAGAGCGUGUAGGCGGCCCGAUAAGUCCGCUGUGAAAGUCCAGGGCUCAACCCUGGGAUGCCGGUGGAUACUGUCGGGCUCGAGUCCGGAAGAGGAGUGUGGAAUUCCUGGUGUAGCGGUGAAAUGCGCAGAUAUCAGGAGGAACACCAAUGGCGAAGGCGGCAUCCUGGACCGGCAUUGACGCUGAGGAGCGAAAGCCAGGGGAGCAAACGGG
rnacentral:rRNA from 1 species